GCAAAAUCCACAAGAUUGUAAACACUGCAAGAAUUAUUUUGUUUUGAGUUUAUGGGAGUAAUUCAUAUAGGGCAAAAAUCACGUGUUCAUAGCAACUUGAAUUGAAAUCGGGACAUACCAGUGAAGUGACAGCAAACAAAAAGUGAAGAAUAGGAGAGCACAAUAGUUAGCCUUGGCUUGCAGGCGGCUAACUUAGAACAGUAGUAAGUAAUCAAAGAAAGAGAGUAGAGAGUUUUGAGUGUGUGAGAGAGAGUUUUUGAACCAAUAUGUUCGAUUGUGUGUGUGUUAAUAAGAGAGCAUAUAUAUAGUUUGAAACUAGGUAGAAUAAUAAGAUAAGAAUCAAAGUCAAGCAGUAAUUAUGGAAUUAGGUAUCAAUUAGUAUGAAAUCAGUAUAAGUGCUCCCUUAAUUAAGAAAGUUAACUUCAAAUGGUGCAGACAAAUAACAAAUAACGAAAGAAUCAAUGUCAGACCAAACAUGAGACAUAAGGAAAUAAGCAUAGUCUAGAGCAGGUAAUAGAGACUAGGUUCGACAAAUUCAAAUUAAAGAGAAUAUCUAAGAUUCAAUUUGACAGCAUAAUCAACCACAACAUAAGACAAGAAAAUAUCUAGAUUGAAAUCAAUAGGGAAUAAAGUAUACCAAUAACAGGGAAUCAGAGAUUACAUUAGAAGGUAAUACUUACCAAAGGAAAGUAUCACAACCGAAUGAAGCAAACAUAAAACAAAUAAGAAUAGGAUAAAUGAAUAACAUAAAUUCGGGGUUCAAAGUAAAUGAUGGUACUGAUGAGGGAAAAUAACCACAAAUUUUUUGGGAAUAAAACAUAAUAGGAAGGAAUAGUUGAAGUCGAAAACCUAACAAGAUAAUAUAGGGUAAAGAUCUCAGAAUCACGGAGUGUUCAUGAGAAACAUACAGAUUAGUUGAACAUAUUAUCAUAUCCAAACUCAGAAACCCAUGAUUAGAAGUAAGAAAUUAGGAUUUUCAGGAUAAUGAAUCGAAUAAAAGGAAAACUUAAUUAAACUGUUUAAACAUAGUAGAAAUCAUAGAAUAAUACUGAAAAUCAGAGGAGAAGUCAUUUUGAAAAGGGG
rnacentral:lncRNA from 1 species